AUGCUCCGCGGUCGCUGUCGGUGGAGCGCAGACGAGCGGAAUUUUUCCCGUGAACAUCCUCUGCUCAGUUCAGCUGCUGUCCAGACCCGGGUCGGCUAAAGUGCCGCGUCCAGCCAUUCUCCUACCGCUCGCCCGUCAGUUUGAGCGCCCCUAGCCCUCCUGCGAGGGCGCCCCGGGACGGAAGGAUCCACCAGCCUGUCGGCGCCCGCCGUUCUCGUGGUCGCCGUCGCCGUCGUCGUGGUGGUAGUCUCUGCCGUCGCCUGGGCCAUGGCCAAUUACAUCCACGUUCCGCACGGCUCCCCGGAGGUGCCCAAGUUGGACGUCACGGUUCAGGAUCAGGAGGAGCAGCGCUGCCGGGAGGGGGCCCUCAGCCUCCUGCAACACCUGCGGCCGCACUGGGACCCUCAGGAGGUGACCCUGCAGCUUUUCACAGAUGGAAUCACAAAUAAACUUAUUGGCUGUUAUGUGAGUAAUACAAUGGAGGAUGUAGUCCUGGUGCGAAUUUAUGGCAAUAAGACUGAGUUGUUAGUUGAUCGAGAUGAGGAAGUGAAGAGUUUCCGAGUGUUGCAGGCUCAUGGCUGUGCACCGCAACUCUACUGUACCUUCAAUAACGGACUGUGCUAUGAAUUUAUACAGGGAGAAGCAUUGGAUCCAAAGCAUGUCUGCAACCCUGCCAUUUUCAGGCUAAUAGCACGUCAGCUUGCUAAAAUCCAUGCUAUCCAUGCACACAAUGGCUGGAUUCCUAAAUCUAAUCUAUGGCUAAAGAUGGGAAAAUAUUUCUCUCUCAUUCCCACAGGAUUUGCAGAUGAAGACCUUAAUAAAAGGUUCUUAAGUGAUAUCCCAAGCUCUCAGAUUCUUCAGGAAGAAAUGACUUGGAUGAAGGAGAUUCUUUCCAACCUGGGCUCACCUGUUGUGCUGUGCCAUAAUGACCUAUUGUGUAAGAAUAUAAUCUACAAUGAGAAACAAGGUGAUGUACAGUUCAUUGAUUAUGAAUAUUCUGGAUACAACUACCUGGCAUAUGAUAUCGGAAAUCAUUUUAAUGAAUUUGCAGGUGUGAGUGAUGUAGACUAUAGUCUCUAUCCAGACAGGCAACUACAGGGCCAGUGGCUGCGUUCUUACCUCGAAGCCUACAAAGAAUUUAAGGGCUUUGGGACUGAAGUUACUGAAAAGGAGGUGGAAAUACUCUUCAUUCAGGUCAAUCAGUUUGCUUUGGCUUCUCAUUUCUUUUGGGGAUUGUGGGCUUUGAUUCAAGCCAAAUACUCCACUAUUGAUUUUGAUUUCCUUGGGUAUGCAAUUGUUCGUUUUAACCAAUACUUUAAAAUGAAGCCUGAAGUUACUGCAUUAAAAGUGCCUGAGUAAAGAAGAGAUUUGAUUAUUCUCAAGUAGCUGAACAAUGCUUGUGUAUCUUUUCUUAAGAAAUUUUGAAAAGCCAAUAUUUGUUAAAAUUCUGUUGUUUAAUUUGGUUAUCUUGCUUUACAAAUUAUGCCUCUAAA